GAGGGUAUAGCUCAGUGGUAGAGCACAUGCUUAGCAUGCACAAGGUCCUGGGUUCAAUCCCCAGUACUUCCA
rfam:Camelus ferus unplaced genomic scaffold scaffold959, whole genome shotgun sequence.